GCUUACGGCCACACCGCCUGGUAUACGCUUGAUCUCGGAAGAUAAGGUAGGUUGGGCCUGGUUAGUACUUGGAUGGGAGACCGCCUGAGAAUACCAGGUGCUGUAAGCU
rnacentral:rRNA from 1 species